GGAUAAAAACCGCAAUUUUUAUACGUGUGCAUGUAAAACAAAUUUCGUUGUAGAAGGUCUUUAUAUAUUUGGGGUUCCCAAGUUAUUGUUUUUAAUUUCAGAUAGAUAUGAUUUCUGUGCGUAGAAAAUUUAAAGUCUGCAAUUUUAUGGAAGUUUCUGCUGUCGACCUGGAUUUGUAAUAAAAUUUAAGCAACCCGAUGGUAGCCACAGGUCGAGCAUGAUCUGCUUACCCACCCGGAGCACCUGCUAUCAACCCCAGUGUUGGUGGGGUUUGAGUUGCUUAGUGUUUAGUUUUCUAUGAUGUGUCUUGUGUACUAUCAUUUGUCUGAUUGUCUUUUUCUUUUUUAGCCAUACCGUUAUCAGUUUAUAUUCGAUCUUCGGGUUUGAAUGUCCAUUUGGUAUAUUUCGCACUCCUCCUUUAGUGCCUUUCAUAUGUCAUUGAAAUGCUUUCAAUUAGCCAGAAGUAACA
rnacentral:lncRNA from 1 species